rnacentral:rRNA from 1 species
AUGGCUUUGCACUAUAUUCCCAUCUUCUUCCUCCAAUUUUUGAGCUCGUUCUGCAAAUCAGACGAUCAGCUCACACGGGCAAAGCCACUCACCCACGGCGACACACUCAUCUCAGAGAGCCGGAACUUUGCUCUCGGCUUCUUCUCCACAACCAGCUCCAACAAGAGCUUUUACCUUGGCAUACGGUACCACGGCAUUCCUGGACCACGCACCGUCGUGUGGGUAGCCAACCGAGACAACCCAAUCAACACCCCUUCAUCUGCGAUGCUCUCCAUCACCACCAAUUCUGAUCUUGUGUUGUCCGACUCCAAAGGCCGCCAUAUUUGGAGGGCUACAAGCAGUAUCGCCCCGGGAGGGGCCGGAGCUUACGCUUUGCUAGUCAACUCGGGGAAUUUUGUCCUUCGGUUGCCAAACACCGCCGACAUAUGGCAGAGCUUUGAUCACCCGACCGACACAAUACUUCCAACAAUGCGAGAGUUAUUGAGGUACAAGGCACAAGCCAUCCGGGGGCUCGUUGCUUGGAAGGGUUCGGAUGACCCUUCCUCUGGGGACUUCACAGGCGGCGCCGACCCUAGCUCGCCGACACUUCAAAGGCUGAUUUUGCACGGGACCAUUCCAUAUCUUCGCAGCGAUGUGUUGAGUGGUGUGUCGGUGCCUGGUGGCACAUACCUAAGCAACGCCAGCUCCUUCGUGACCGAAACAGUCAUCAACCAGGGAGACGAAUCAUAUCUUUUGUUCACUGUCUCUGAUGGUUUACCGUUCACACGUUUGACGCUUGAAUACACAGGCAUGCUGAAGUGUCUAAGCUGA